ensembl:snRNA U6 U6 spliceosomal RNA
GUGCUUGCUUCGGCAGCACAUAUACUAAAAUUGGAACGAUACAGAGAAGAUUAGCAUGGCCCCUGUGCAAGGAUGACACAGAAAUUCGUGAAGUGUUCCAUAUUUUU